AGAAAAUUAGUUAAAUCAUCAAUAAUAUGAGAUUGUCAUUCUUAAGUUGCCUGUACGGCAUUUUCU
rnacentral:tRNA from 1 species